rnacentral:lncRNA from 1 species
AUGGGGUGGGAGGGUGGGGGCACACGGUGGGGGGGGGGGUGGGAGCAGCUUUGCUUCUGGCAAGGUGGAGGAUUCGCUGGGUGUAGUGUUAGCGCUUUGGCAGCCCCCAGCCCAGAGGGGAAGGGGCUGCCCACGGCUCUGCUGGGUGCUGCUUCGCUUAAGGGCAUGGGAAAGGGCAGCUCCUUGCCUCCAGCCCUGCUCACUGCCACCACCGAGCCACCCACCAUCUCCAAAGCAAGCAGGGGGAAAGGAGGGCUCUGGGGCAGCCGCCCCAUCACUGUGCCUGGCCCAAGGCCUGGGCUGCAGAAAUGUCAGGUUGUUCCCCACCCCCCCAUCUGCCCCCAACAUGGUGUAUUUCUUCCUUUCAUCUCUGAAUCAAGCCAUCGAUACAGCAAUAAGGCUGGGGCAGCACCAAGGCUCUGCGCUCCGCUCACUGCGCAGCAUGGCCAGGGCUGUGCCACACUGCUGUGCCACACUGCUGUGCUCCCCAUGCCAAGCCCUGAGAGGCACAGAGGGCAGAGCAGCCCCCCCACCACCACACAGAAGCAGGCACCACCUACCUUCCCCUCCCUGCUGCCCCAACAGAGGAUUUCUGGGGUGAGAGCAGGGGAAGGGGAACAGGCAAACAGGGUGCAGGAUGGGCAGCAGCGUGUGGCAGGGCAGCACCCAGAGCACACAGCAGGGGUACUGGUGACCCCAUUGCUGCUAUGCCCUGGAUGCCAGGAGGUGCAGAGCUCCCCCCCACCCCCCUCUUUCCCCACUCACCAUUUCGUUUCUCUGCUUCCUCCCAGCUUGGGCUCACCAGGCCAGCUCUCGCUCAGCUCUCAGUUAAAACGCGCUGCUCUUAAACUGAGUUUUGUUUGCCCCGUUUCCCUCGUGGCAGUAAACAGUCCUGGCACAACCUAUUCCUGCUCCAUUCAGCAGAGGACAGGGCCCAGCAUCCAGGGCACUUCUCAACUUCUCUCUAUACAAAACACUUCUUCAGCAGCCGCCUGUCUGCUAUCUCACUUCUGGGCAGUUACUGUACAAAGGAGGGAACUGUUUCUUUGUUUUUUUUUUUUUCCCUUGCUGUGUGCUACUUCUUUGGCAACUGAAAGAAAUGAAGGGGGUUAUUUAUUUCUUUUUAAUUUAUUGUCAUAUUUUUGUAAAACCUGCAGAAAUGCAAUAAAAGUAUAUUUCAACAAACUUGAGGCGUGUGCUAAGUUACUUUCCUACCAGAUCUGA